UACGGGGGGGGUAAGCGUUGUCCGGAAUUAUUGGGCGUAAAGAGCUCGUAGGCGGCUUGUCACGUCGGAUGUGAAAGCCCGGGGCUUAACUCCGGGUCUGCAUUCGAUACGGGCUGGCUAGAGUGUGGUAGGGGAGAUCGGAAUUCCUGGUGUAGCGGUGAAAUGCGCAGAUAUCAGGAGGAACACCGGUGGCGAAGGCGGAUCUCUGGGCCAUUACUGACGCUGAGGAGCGAAAGCGUGGGGAGCGAACAGG
rnacentral:rRNA from 1 species